CUGCCCCCUCCCCAAUCUAUCAAAUGCCACACACACAGGAUGUCUGUACCACUUGGGCUACAGGCUGGCCACCCCUGUAAUGGGCAGGUAUUAGAUACAAGUGCCUUUAAGACUCUCCCAGUUUCUUACAGAGAUGUGCAAAACCUGGCAUUAGUCUUAGCUUUAUCUGCCAAGAAAAUUAGGGCCAAUCAUCCCAGAGAACAGAAAAUACAGAUAAAAGUGGAAAUGAAGUAAACAGAAUCCAGCAUCCCUAACCUUCCUCGGUUGGAGCCUGAAGUUUAGGACUGAUCCACAUUUGGGCACUGUGUGUUUGUGCACAAGAUCAUUGCUGCAUCUUGUGUCUCCAUCCAAUUCUUUCCAUUUUAAUUCUUGAACUGCCUCUUCCAUGCAUGUGAUUUUUACUCCUUCCCCCUAACACUCAUCCCUUUUUUUUGCCUUUCUGCAGUACCUCAUUCCUCAGAUCCAGCUCUCUCACCCUUCAACACCUGCACUAUCAUAUCAUUCUUUUCCACAGGUGGAAAUAAUCUGCUUCCCCAUUAUUCUCUUCCUGCUAUCCUUCCUUUCUGCCAGGUUCCUCCUAUUGCCUGGUUUUGAUUUUUCCUGGUUCUCUUCCUUUACAAAAUAGCUGGAAACAUUCUAAAAAGAAGGUACCUGGAGGAUGCUGUAUCCCCAAGCAAAGGGGAUCCAUGAGGGCAUUUUGUCGAAACCAGAAGAAAAAACAGAAUAAAAAUAAUGGAACAAAAAAAGCAAAAAAACCCCCCUGAACUUGUUCCAGUGACAGCAAGCCAGAAUAAUUGUGUUAAAAUUAACCCACUGCAAUAUGAUAAAACAGGGUCAACUUUCCAUCUAAAUAUUACCUAUCAACAGCAAAGCUGCAUCCAUGACUGCUGCACCGUUCAGCAUAGUAGCCAUCAAGAUAUCAUGACCAGGACAAUCCA